rnacentral:rRNA from 1 species
AGCGUACACGGUGGAUGCCCUGGCAGUCAGAGGCGAUGAAGGACGUGCUAAUCUGCGAUAAGCGUCGGUAAGGUGAUAUGAACCGUUAUAACCGGCGAUUUCCGAAUGGGGAAACCCAGUGUGUUUCGACACACUAUCAUUAACUGAAUCCAUAGGUUAAUGAGGCGAACCGGGGGAACUGAAACAUCUAAGUACCCCGAGGAAAAGAAAUCAACCGAGAUUCCCCCAGUAGCGGCGAGCGAACGGGGAGCAGCCCAGAGCCUGAAUCAGUGUGUGUGUUAGUGGAAGCGUCUGGAAAGGCGCGCGAUACAGGGUGACAGCCCCGUACACAAAAAUGCACAUAUUGUGAGCUCGAUGAGUAGGGCGGGACACGUGGUAUCCUGUCUGAAUAUGGGGGGACCAUCCUCCAAGGCUAAAUACUCCUGACUGACCGAUAGUGAACCAGUACCGUGAGGGAAAGGCGAAAAGAACCCCGGCGAGGGGAGUGAAAAAGAACCUGAAACCGUGUACGUACAAGCAGUGGGAGCACGCUUAGGCGUGUGACUGCGUACCUUUUGUAUAAUGGGUCAGCGACUUAUAUUCUGUAGCAAGGUUAACCGAAUAGGGGAGCCGAAGGGAAACCGAGUCUUAACUGGGCGUUAAGUUGCAGGGUAUAGACCCGAAACCCGGUGAUCUAGCCAUGGGCAGGUUGAAGGUUGGGUAACACUAACUGGAGGACCGAACCGACUAAUGUUGAAAAAUUAGCGGAUGACUUGUGGCUGGGGGUGAAAGGCCAAUCAAACCGGGAGAUAGCUGGUUCUCCCCGAAAGCUAUUUAGGUAGCGCCUCGUGAAUUCAUCUCCGGGGGUAGAGCACUGUUUCGGCAAGGGGGUCAUCCCGACUUACCAACCCGAUGCAAACUGCGAAUACCGGAGAAUGUUAUCACGGGAGACACACGGCGGGUGCUAACGUCCGUCGUGAAGAGGGAAACAACCCAGACCGCCAGCUAAGGUCCCAAAGUCAUGGUUAAGUGGGAAACGAUGUGGGAAGGCCCAGACAGCCAGGAUGUUGGCUUAGAAGCAGCCAUCAUUUAAAGAAAGCGUAAUAGCUCACUGGUCGAGUCGGCCUGCGCGGAAGAUGUAACGGGGCUAAACCAUGCACCGAAGCUGCGGCAGCGACGCUGAUGCGUUGUUGGGUAGGGGAGCGUUCUGUAAGCCUGUGAAGGUGUGCUGUGAGGCAUGCUGGAGGUAUCAGAAGUGCGAAUGCUGACAUAAGUAACGAUAAAGCGGGUGAAAAGCCCGCUCGCCGGAAGACCAAGGGUUCCUGUCCAACGUUAAUCGGGGCAGGGUGAGUCGACCCCUAAGGCGAGGCCGAAAGGCGUAGUCGAUGGGAAACAGGUUAAUAUUCCUGUACUUGGUGUUACUGCGAAGGGGGGACGGAGAAGGCUAUGUUGGCCGGGCGACGGUUGUCCCGGUUUAAGCGUGUAGGCUGGUUUUCCAGGCAAAUCCGGAAAAUCAAGGCUGAGGCGUGAUGACGAGGCACUACGGUGCUGAAGCAACAAAUGCCCUGCUUCCAGGAAAAGCCUCUAAGCAUCAGGUAACAUCAAAUCGUACCCCAAACCGACACAGGUGGUCAGGUAGAGAAUACCAAGGCGCUUGAGAGAACUCGGGUGAAGGAACUAGGCAAAAUGGUGCCGUAACUUCGGGAGAAGGCACGCUGAUAUGUAGGUGAAGCGACUUGCUCGUGGAGCUGAAAUCAGUCGAAGAUACCAGCUGGCUGCAACUGUUUAUUAAAAACACAGCACUGUGCAAACACGAAAGUGGACGUAUACGGUGUGACGCCUGCCCGGUGCCGGAAGGUUAAUUGAUGGGGUCAGCGCAAGCGAAGCUCUUGAUCGAAGCCCCGGUAAACGGCGGCCGUAACUAUAACGGUCCUAAGGUAGCGAAAUUCCUUGUCGGGUAAGUUCCGACCUGCACGAAUGGCGUAAUGAUGGCCAGGCUGUCUCCACCCGAGACUCAGUGAAAUUGAACUCGCUGUGAAGAUGCAGUGUACCCGCGGCAAGACGGAAAGACCCCGUGAACCUUUACUAUAGCUUGACACUGAACAUUGAGCCUUGAUGUGUAGGAUAGGUGGGAGGCUUAGAAGUGUGGACGCCAGUCUGCAUGGAGCCGACCUUGAAAUACCACCCUUUAAUGUUUGAUGUUCUAACGUUGACCCGUAAUCCGGGUUGCGGACAGUGUCUGGUGGGUAGUUUGACUGGGGCGGUCUCCUCCUAAAGAGUAACGGAGGAGCACGAAGGUUGGCUAAUCCUGGUCGGACAUCAGGAGGUUAGUGCAAUGGCAUAAGCCAGCUUGACUGCGAGCGUGACGGCGCGAGCAGGUGCGAAAGCAGGUCAUAGUGAUCCGGUGGUUCUGAAUGGAAGGGCCAUCGCUCAACGGAUAAAAGGUACUCCGGGGAUAACAGGCUGAUACCGCCCAAGAGUUCAUAUCGACGGCGGUGUUUGGCACCUCGAUGUCGGCUCAUCACAUCCUGGGGCUGAAGUAGGUCCCAAGGGUAUGGCUGUUCGCCAUUUAAAGUGGUACGCGAGCUGGGUUUAGAACGUCGUGAGACAGUUCGGUCCCUAUCUGCCGUGGGCGCUGGAGAACUGAGGGGGGCUGCUCCUAGUACGAGAGGACCGGAGUGGACGCAUCACUGGUGUUCGGGUUGUCAUGCCAAUGGCACUGCCCGGUAGCUAAAUGCGGAAGAGAUAAGUGCUGAAAGCAUCUAAGCACGAAACUUGCCCCGAGAUGAGUUCU